GGUUUGGUUUCCAUGAAGAAGAUGAGCACCGCUGGACAGCAGAGGCUCCCUCAGGUUCCUGGACGGUCCCGGCCACAAGCAGUCAGAACCGGAUCAGCACAGCGUACGCAGGAAACCAAGGCGAUUUUCUCCAAAUGCCCGCGGUGAGCUUCGAUCUGGGCAACGAGUGGGACGACUUUGAGGACGAGAAGCUGCUGCGGGCCAGCGAGGGCUUUGGGGCGGAUCCUCAGAGGCUGCAGAAUGCUGAGCUCAGAGACUCGGGCAGAGCAGGAGGCUGUGCAGCUCCAUCAGCACCACCUCUGCCCAGCCGCUCCUCCCUCUCUGUAACUCCAGCUGCUCCACACAGGCAAUCCCUCCAAACUCCACACUCCAGCAUGAACACACAGCAUCUGUUUGUCACUGAAAGCACAGCCUCAUGUCCUCAUGCUCCUGUGUUUCAGUUUAAAUCCUGGAAUCAGGAAACGGGGAUCCGCUCAUCUGAGUCAGAGACUCUCAGCUGACAGGAGAAUCACGCUGGACGUCAAGAAAGCGAACAUCUUCAGGGGGCAGUUCCCCCCGGAAACCCCCCCGGAAAGGCUGGCGGUGCAG
rnacentral:lncRNA from 1 species